GUCUAUGGCCAUGCUACCCUGAACAAGCCCAAUCCUGUCUGAUCUUGGAAGCUAAGCAGGGUCGGGCCUGGUUAGUACUUGGAUGAGAGACCACCUAGGAAGACUAGGUGCUGCAGGCA
rnacentral:rRNA from 1 species